CGCCCAACUCAGGUUUCUAUCGCCCUAUCCCUUAGAGCUCAUCUAAGACCUAAGAUGGCGGCGUUCGCAUGGCGUGUAAACGCUGCAGGCGUACCAGAUAUGGAAAGGCGGCCAAAGGACGAAUCUACUAAGGAGAGUCCAAGAACUCGCCGAUAUUUGUGUUGUGGAAGCCCUCUUGGAAGCAGAGUAUCCAUGAUGUUUUAGAAAGCAGUGACCCAUGGAAGUGAAUGUGGAUUUCAGUCAAGAAUUGAAGGCCUUGCUGGACACAUACCAGAGAAAAUUUUUCAGAGGUGUGAUGCUGGAGAACAUGUCAUCUGGUCUCUCAAUUUUUCACAACCUUAAACAGUACAGUUGAAGCCCCCUCUUCAUCACACACCACAAGCCUGUCUAUUCCCUGAGAAACAACAACAAUGAAGUUAAGCCAGUGGAUAUCCCUACAGUGGCCUCUAAGUGUUCAAGUGAAAGGAAGACUUGCACAUCUCUCACUUUAAAUCAAAAGCUAGAAAUGAUUAAGCUUAGUGGGGAAGGCAUGCUGAAUGCCUACACAGGCCAAAAACUAGGCCUUUUGUGCCAGUUAGCCAAAUUGUGAAUACAAAGGAAAAAUUCUUGAAGGAAAUGAAAAGUGCUUCUCCAGUGAACACAUAAAUGAUAAGAAAGCAAAACAGCCUUAUUGCUGAUACUGAGACAGUUUUAGCAGUCUGGAUAGACAAACAGACCAGCCUCAACAUUCCCUUAAGCCAAAACCUAAUCCAGGGCAAGGCCCUAGCUCUCUUCAAUUCUAUGAAGGUUGACAGAGAUGAGGAAGCUGCAGAAGAAAAGUUUGAAGCUAGCAGAGGUUCAUUCAUGAAGUUUAAGGAAAGAAGCCAUCUCCAUAACAUGAAAAUGCAAGGUGAAGCAAUAAGUGCUGAUGUAGAAGCUGCAGCAAAUUAUUCAGAAGAUCUGACUAAGAUAAUUAAUGAAGGUGGCCACGCUAAACAACAGAUCUCCAGUGUAGACAAAACAGCCUCUAUUGGAAGAAGUACAUCUAGGACAUUCAUAGCUACAGAGGAGAAGUCAAUUCCUGGCUUCAGAGGACAGGCUGACUCUCUUGUCAGGCUAAUGCAACUGGUAACUUUGAGUUCAAGCCAGUUGUCAUUUACCAUUCUGAAAAUCCUAGGGUUCUUAAUAAUUAUGCUAAAUCUACUCUGCCUGUGCUCCGCAAAUGGAACAACAAAGCCUGGAUGAAAGCACAGCUGUUUACAACAUGGUUUACUGAAUAUUUUCAGCCUACUGUCGAUACCCACUGCUCAGCAAAGAGAGGUUCCUUUCAAAAUAUUGCUGCUCAUUGACAAUGCACCUGGUCACUCAAGAGCCCUGGUGGAGAUGUACAAUGAGAUUAAUGUUGUUUUUAUGCCUGCUAACAUCAUCCAUCCUGCAUCCUGUUGGUUAAGGAACAAUUUUGACUUUCAGUUUUUAUUAUUUAACAAGUACAUUUUGUAAGACAAUACCUGCCGUAGAUAGUGUUUUCUUUGAUGUUUUGGGCAAAGUAAAUUGAAAACCUUCUGGACUGGAUUCACCAAUCCAGAUGUCAUUAAGAACAUUUGUGAUUCAUGGGAAGAGGUCAGAGUAUCAACAUUAACAGGACUUUGGAGGACAUUGAUUCCAGCCCUCAUGGAUGACUUUGAGAGGUUCAAGAUGUCAGUGGAGGAGGUAACUCCAAAUGUGGUGGAAAUUGGAAGAGAACCAAAAAUUAGGAGUGGAGCCCAAAGAUGUGACUGAAUUGCUGCAAUCUCGUAAUAAAACUUUAAUGGGUGAGGAGAUGCUUCUUAUGGAUGAACUAAAAAAGUGAUUUCUUGAGAUGGAGUCUACACCCAUUAAAGAUGCUUUUGAAUAUUGUCCAAAUGACAAGAAAGGAUUUAGACUGUUACACAAACUUAGUUGAUAAAGUAGUGGAAGGGUUCGAGAGGACUGACUCCAAUUUUAAAGUUCCACUGUGGGUAAAAUGCUACCAAACAGCAUUGCAUGUUACAGCGAAGUUGUUCGUGAAAGGAAGAGUCAGUUGAUGUGGCAGACUUCACUGCUGUCUUAUUUUAAGAAAUUGCCAUAGCCACCUCAGUCUUUAGCAACCACCACCCUCAUCAGUCAGCAGCCAUCAACAUCAAGGCAAUAUCCUCCACAAGCAGAAAGAUAACUACUCACUGAAGGCUCAGGUGACAGUAUUUUUUAGUUAAGGUAUGUACAUUGUUUUUUAGGCAUAAUGCCACUGCAUACUUAAUAGACUACAAUGUAGUGUAAGUAUAACUUAUUUUCACUGGGGAACCUAAAAAUUCAUUUGACUCAACUCAAUUUACUGUGAUAUUUGCUGGAACAAUACACUCACUAUCUCAGAGGUAUGCCCAUAGUUGGACUUUAUCCAACUUACCAAACAUGUGCACCAUAGCACACUCUGAGGGAAGUGAAAAGACAGCUCACAGAACGGGAGAAAAUACUUGGAAAUUACGUAUUUGAGAACUUACUAGCAUGGAGAAUAUGUAAAGACCACUUCCAACUAAAAAAUGGAAGAAAAGUACAAUUUAGAAAUGCACCAAGGACAUAAAUAUUUCUCAGAAGUUAAUAUACCAGGAGCCGUAAGUACAUGAAAAGAAUUUUAAUAUUUUUACUUGAGAAAUUCAAUUCAAAAUAACCAUGAGUAUCACUUAACAU